CCAAAGGCUCUUUUCAGAGCCACUCACGUUUUCCCAAAGGGCUCU
rfam:TPA: Bos taurus chromosome 23, whole genome shotgun sequence.